rnacentral:rRNA from 1 species
AUUGAACGCUGGCGGCAUGCCUUACACAUGCAAGUCGAACGGCAGCACGGGUGCUUGCACCUGGUGGCGAGUGGCGAACGGGUGGGUAAUACAUCGGAACAUGUCCUGUAGUGGGGGAUAGCCCGGCGAAAGCCGGAUUAAUACCGCAUACGAUCUACGGAUGAAAGCGGGGGACCUUCGGGCCUCGCGCUAUAGGGUUGGCCGAUGGCUGAUUAGCUAGUUGGUGGGGUAAAGGCCUACCAAGGCGACGAUCAGUAGCUGGUCUGAGAGGACGACCAGCCACACGGUGACUGAGACAGGGCCCAGACUCCUGCGGGAGGCAGCAGUGGGGAAUUUUGGACAAGGGGCGAAAGCCUGAUCCAGCAAUGCCGCGUGUGUGAAGAAGGCCUUCGGGUUGUAAAGCACUUUUGUCCGGAAAGAAAUCCUUGGCUCUAAUACAGUCGGGGGAUGACGGUACCGGAAGAAUAAGCACCGGCUAACUACGUG